AGCUGGAUAGCUCAGUUGGUUAGGGCAUGGUGCUGAUAACGCCAAGGUUGCAGGCUCGAUCCUGCAUAUUCCUGCAUUGAGUGG